rnacentral:rRNA from 1 species
AGCGAACGCUGGCGGCAGGCUUAACACAUGCAAGUCGAGCGGCCGUAGCAAUACGGCAGCGGCAGACGGGAGAGUAACACGUGGGAACGUACCCUUCAGUACGGAACAACCAAGGGAAACUUUGGCUAAUACCGUAUACGUCCGUAAGGAGAAAGAUUUAUCGCUGAAGGAUCGGCCCGCGUCUGAUUAGCUAGUUGGUGAGGUAACGGCUCACCAAGGCGACGAUCAGUAGCUGGUCUGAGAGGAUGAUCAGCCUCACUGGGACUGAGACACGGCCCAGACUCCUACGGGAGGCAGCAGUGGGGAAUAUUGGACAAUGGGCGCAAGCCUGAUCCAGCCAUGCCGCGUGGAUGAUGAAGGCCCUAGGGUUGUAAAGUCCUUUUAACGGGGAAGAUAAUGACGGUACCCGUAGAAUAAGCCCCGGCUAACUUCGUGCCAGCCGCCGCGGUAA